UUCUUAUUUGAUUAUGAUUGUCAUGUGUCAUGUUCUGAUUGGAUGUCAACUCCAUGAAAGAUGAAAUGCAUUGUUGUUUUCAUUGACCAAUCAGAACAUGACACAUGACAGUUAUCAUCU
rfam:Glycine soja cultivar W05 scaffold2335_29, whole genome shotgun sequence.